rnacentral:lncRNA from 1 species
AUUAGCAAUGCAUUUUCUUGAUUUAUAAUUGUUGAACCAAAUGUUGUUUUGACUAAUGAUGAAUUUCCUCUUGUCUUUCACAUAUUCAAUCUCACCUGUCGCCCGGUUUGGUAGUGGAUAAGCAUGCGAACAGAUGCCAUGGAUUGGACGGGAAUUAUGAGGAAAUUAUUAUCGAGAGAGUUAGCUCUGGUUUGGGAUUCAUCAUCUCGGGUGGACCUGACAAGCAACACAUCUGCGAAGAUCAAGCCAUCAUUCUGACGAAGAUCAUCACGGGCGGUGCGGCUGCUAUCGCCGAACGAAUGAAGAUCAACGACGUCAUCUUGAAAGUGAACGAUGUGUUGGUGGUGAACGUUACCUAUUCAGCUGCAGUCGAAGCGCUCAAAAGGGCAGGAAACAUCGUCCGUUUGAGCGUAAGUAGACGCAGACAGCCACGAUCUCCUCGCAGAGUCGAAAUUGUGUAAGGGCAACAAAGGAAUGAUUUUCACCAUCACGUGCGUAUCGGGAAAUAAACAUAUUACCGGCGAUAAUGUAAUUUACAUUACCAAGAUAAUGUGAAUGGCGGAGUGGCUAAAGUUGACGGGCGAAUAGUUUUCAGCGAAAAAUUGAUUCUCGUCAGGAAUUUACACUUGUUGACGGAGAAAAAUCUAGAGAAAGUUUCGCACGAGGACGCCUUUUCGGCGUUAAAGUAAACAUUGGGUGUUGCAUUGGGUGUUGCAUUGGGUGUUGCAUUGGGACAUUUUCCAUUGGGUGUUGCUGCAAUUUUGUUUCAGACCUCGUCACACUUGGAGCAGAAUUUGUCCAACAUGUAGUACCAUUUUAGAAAUGAUUGUUUAAAACUUAAAAUUGUUCCAUUUCCAAGGGAGAAGAUUGAGGGACAAGAAAAAAAAAAUUAAAGA